GAUUAUUCAGCAACGUUCAAAUAAUCUUUUCCAGAUUUUAAUUUCAACAAUCGAUUAUACAAAAUCAAUAAUCGAUUAUUCAGCAACGUUUAAAAAAUCUUUUCCAGAUUAUAAUUUCAACAAUCGAUUAUAGAAUAUCAACAAUCGAUUACCUGACGGUAUUUGAAAAUCAUUUGGCAACGGUUAGUUAUACAAUCGAUUAUACUAAGUUAACAAUCGAUUAUAUAUCAGU
rnacentral:lncRNA from 1 species